CUUUUUUAACAGUUUACUUAAGGGUGAAGAAAGAGAGCACUGGAUGCUGCUUAGAGCCACAGCCAUCUUUAUGAAUUGCUAUUUACUAAUUUCCUUUCCUUCUUGUCUCCAGGGAACCUUGAAGGUGGCCAAGGUCAUCGCAGCAGACAGCAAACUGAUUGAGGCCUCUGAGGAGGUAAUAAUACUUUCUCAUUCCUCUCUUAUUUAAUCUUGACAAACUAGCUGUAACUCGCUGUGGAUUAGCAAUGCACAAUCUGGCGUGGUAGAACUAGGCAGGUUUAAAGUGUGUCUUUAAACUUCAUUAAGGGUUUUUCAUUCCUGUACGAUUAGAAAGUUUUUUUUUUUUUGAAUCUGAGCUGCAGUAAAAGCUGGGUCGCUGGGUUAAUGUACAAUAAGAAACAAUUAAUCUAUAAAUCCACUGAGUUAAUGUAAUGAUGUAGAACAGAUUUUUAAAUCUUAAAGGAUUUAGAGGAUGCUGUUUUCCCUUUCUGUUGCUUGUUAAAGUAGAAUAUACUUUGCUCAUUCCAGUUUAGGAGACAUUUUGACUUCCAAAACCACCAGCAAUGCUUUCACUUGCCCGAGGUACUUAUUUCCUUCUUAGCUGAUUGUUUAAACCCUUCAGCAGUGUGGUGUGUAUUUGUGAGCAUAUGCAGCAGACCUCCCUCUGAAAGCGAGUGAUCGAUGUUAUGAGUGUUGAAUGGGUAACCAAAACAAUAGUGUUUUUCUUCCACUCCACUUGAGUCAAUAGAUAUUUUGCACUUAAGACAUUUUAAUCGUAUCACUGUCAUACUAUGCCCUUUAUCUAGAACUAAGUAUCAGCCAAAAUUUAGUUCAAAAUGAGCCUACAUUUUGCUGAAAUAAGCUAAUGAACCUUUGUGAACUUUCAAAACUGGGCUGAAUUUCAAGACUGGAGCAAUCCUUGAAGCCAGAAUCAGUGGAGAAUGUUUCCUUCAAUACUGUUCUCUGACAAAUAAGGAAUGUACAGUGCACUGCAUAACAGGUAUAAAAAAGAAGACGAAGUUUUUGAAGGAAAGUACUUGAGGUACUCACUUAGAGAUCUGCUGAUGACUCAUGGAAAACUGAAGAAUUGUUUGACUGCCCUCGAUGACAUGUCCAUGUCAUGCUUAAGGCUCAGAUACUGCAAGAUGUAAAAUAAGAUAAAUAAGCCCUCAAUACUGAAGGCGCCUCUUGGUAGACAACAAGUUGUGGAUUCUGUGUCAAAUGAAAUUGCAUUUAACCUUUUUAGAGCAGAUACUAACUUUAACUUAGUGAUAGCCUAGCUGCAUCAAAAAGAAGAAAACCUGAAUUUACUAUCUGCAAAACAAUAUACAGUUUAAAAAAAUGUGGACUGUACUUGAUUUCAGUCUAUGUUUACAAUGAUGGAAAGAAAAUUACAUUUACUGCUUUUUAGCUUUUCAAAUGUAGGUAAGAUUUAUUUUGGAAUAUCAAAAAUGGUACUUCAAUUCUAUUGUAUGGAAUGGAUGCCACACAAUAAAAUUCAUCUGCUGUUUAACCUUCCA
rnacentral:lncRNA from 1 species